GAUAAACGCUGGCGGCGUGCCUUACGCAUGCAAGUCGCACGAUCACUUCGGUGGUAGUGGCGGACGGGUGAGUAACACGUACGUGAUCUGUCCCGAACUGGGGGAUAACCGCCCGAAAGGGUGGCUAAUACCGCAUGUGGUCCCUGGGCUGCGGUCCAGGGAGUAAAGCUCCGGCGGUUCGGGAGGAGCGUGCGGCGGAUUAGCUUGUUGGUGGGGUAAUGGCCUACCAAGGCGACGAUCCGUAGCUGGUCUGAGAGGACGGCCAGCCACACGGGGACUGAGACACGGCCCCGACUCCUACGGGAGGCAGCAGCGAGGAAUCUUGGUCAAUGGGCGCAAGCCUGAACCAGCGACGCCGCGUGGAGGAUGAAGGCCCUCGGGUCGUAAACUCCUUUUGGGUGGGAAGAAGAUCUGACGGUACCACCCGAAUAAGCCACGGCUAACUACGUGCCAGCCGCCGCUGUAACAC
rnacentral:rRNA from 1 species